UCCUGACGGUAGUCGUAUGCUCGUCUCCGAGACUAAGCCAUGCAAGUCCAAGUACACGUCCUUAGAACGACGGAAACUGCGAACGGCUCAUUAAAUCAGUUGCGAUCUACUCGGCGUUCCGCGCCGCCGGAUAACCGUAGUAAUUCUAGGGCUAAUAACGUGCGAAGCGCCCCGAAGCCGCGAGGCGACGGGCGUUCUCGCCGGAUGUAGGAACCGACCCGGGGACCGCCGGGGCAACCCGGCGCCCCCCGAGACGGGGCGAACCACGGUGAAAUGACGGAUCGUCGGCCCCGCGCCGGCGACUCGCCGAAUGAGUUUCUGACCUAUCAACUCGAGACGGCGGGGUAGAGGCCCGCCGCGGUAACGACGGGUAACGGGGAAUUAGGGUUUGAUUCCGGAGAAAAGGCCUGAGAGACGGCCAUUACUUCUAAGGAAGGCAGCAGGCGCGUAAAUUACCCAAUCCUAAUACGGGGAGUAGUGACAAGAAUAUUGAUAUUGGACCCAAAGGGUACAAUGAUUGAAAUGAGAACAAUAUAAAAAACUUAACGACUAACAAUUGGAGGCAAGUCUGUGCCAGCAG
rnacentral:rRNA from 1 species